GUCUGGAUAGCUCAGUUGGUUAGAGCUUGGGGUUGAUAACACCAAGGUUGCUGGUUUGAUCCCCACAUGGGACA